rnacentral:rRNA from 1 species
CUAUUGGAGUUCGAUUAAGCCAUGCGAGUCUAGAGGCCUAGCCUCGGCGUACCGCUCAGUAACACGUGGGUAACCUACCCUAUGCUGGGGAAUAAGCUCGGGAAACUGAGAAUAAUACCCCAUAGUCCACUACGCCUGGAACGGUGAGUGGAUCAAAGCUCCGGCGGCAUAGGAUGGGCCUGCGGCGUAUCAGGUUGUAGGGGGUGUAAUGUACCCUCUAGCCAUCCACGCGUACGGGUGUUGGGAGACAUUGCCCGGAGAUGGAUUCUGAGACACGAAUCCAGACCCUACGGGGUGCAGCAGGCGCGAAAACUUGGCAAUGCGAGAAAUCGUGACCAGGGAACUCCAAGUGGCAGGGGUAAGACCCUGUCUUUUUCCGACUCUAAAUAGGUCGGCGAAUAAGGGGUGGGUAAGGACGGUGCCAGCCGCCGCGGUAAUACCGGCGCCUCAAGUGGUAGUCGCUUUUAUUGGGCCUAAAACGUCCGUAGCCGGUCUGGUACAUUCGUGGGUAAAUCAACUCGCUCAACGAGUUGAAUUCUGCGAGGACGGCCAGACUUGGGACCGGGAGAGGUGUGGGGUACUCUCAGGGUAGGGGUAAAAUCCCGUCAUCCUGAGAGGACCACCUGUUGCGAAGGCUCCACACUAGAACGGAUCCGACGGUCAGGGACGAAGCCUAGGGGCACGAACCGGAUUAGAUACCCGGGUAGUCCUAGGUGUAAACGCUGUGGACUUGAUGUUGGGGACGCUCCGAGCGUUCUCAGUGUCGAAGCGAAGGUGAUAAGUCCACUGCCUGGGGAGUACGGUCGCAAGGCUGAAACUUAAAGGAAUUGGCGGGGGAGCACCGCAAC